rnacentral:tRNA from 1 species
CGGGGUGUAACUCAGCUGGUAGAGUGCGUGGUUUGGGACCACGAUGCCGCACGUUCGAGCCGUGUCACUCCGACCA